GACGAACGCUGGCGGCGUGCCUAACACAUGCAAGUCGAACGGAAAGGCCCUGCUUUUGCGGGGUGCUCGAGUGGCGAACGGGUGAGUAACACGCGAGUAUCCCGUCCCUGACUUUGGGAUAACUUCUGGAAACUGGGGCUCAUACCGCAUAGGAGCUCCUGCAGCACGGUGGUGGUUGGUAAGUUUCGGCGGUUGGGGAUGGUCUCGCGGCUUAUCAGCUUGUUGGUGGGGUAGUGGCUGACCAAGGUUUUGACGGGUAGCCCGCCUGAGAGGGUGACCGGCCACAUUGGGACUGAGAUACGGCCCAGACUCCUACGGGAGGCAGCAGUGGGGAAUAUUGCACAAUGGGCGGAAGCCUGAUGCAGCAACGCCGCGUGCGGGAUGACGUCCUUCGGGUUGUAAACCGCUUUCGCCUGUGACGAAGCGUGAGUGACGGUAAUGGGUAAAGAAGCACCGGCUAACUACGUG
rnacentral:rRNA from 1 species